UGAAGACCAGCAUUCCCAGGUGGGAGUGAGAGGCCUCAUUCAUGGCUUUAGACUGGAUGCACAUGCGGUACUGCUCGGGGGUCAGCUCAUCAGCACAGCGCUUUUCAUGCCAGAGGUGGAAAAGACCAGGAACCGGAGUCCGAAUCACAAUGAGGUCACCAUGUAAGUAUUUUCGAUAAAGAUGAACAUCUUCUCCACCC
rnacentral:lncRNA from 1 species